rnacentral:rRNA from 1 species
UCUUCCCUCUGUCGGCGUGCUUAACACAUGCAAGUCGAACGGAAAGGCUCCUGCUUGCAGGGGUACUCGAGUGGCGAACGGGUGAGUAACACGUGGGUGAUCUGCCCUGCACUUCGGGAUAAGCCUGGGAAACUGGGUCUAAUACCGGAUAGGACCACAUUUUGGAUGGUGUGGUGGAAAGUUUUUCGGUGUGGGAUGAGCUCGCGGCCUAUCAGCUUGUUGGUGGGGUAAUGGCCUACCAAGGCGUCGACGGGUAGCCGGCCUGAGAGGGUGUACGGCCACAUUGGGACUGAGAUACGGCCCAGACUCCUACGGGAGGCAGCAGUGGGGAAUAUUGCACAAUGGGCGCAAGCCUGAUGCAGCGACGCCGCGUGGGGGAUGACGGCCUUCGGGUUGUAAACUCCUUUCGCUAGGGACGAAGCGUUUUUGUGACGGUACCUGGAGAAGAAGCACCGGCUAACUACGUG